rnacentral:lncRNA from 1 species
UUUCAUUUCCUGAAAAUAUCUAUCUUUUUUUUCUACAACACUGUUUUGAUGAGGGUGUUCUAUGAGAGGAAAAGUUAUGUAAAGUUCCAUUAUAUUCACAAAAAAUUUCAAGGAGCUUAUUUUUAAAUUCAUUCUCAUGAUUACUAUGAAUUGUUGUAAUAAAAACCUUUUUUAUUUUUCACAUUUUUGCAGAAGGUAGUGAAAACCUCACGUGACUCAUCAUUUGUGUUUAAGGAACUUUACCCAUGUCCAUAUGGAAUAUUCAUUAACAAUAACAAGUCCAUAAUUUUUUUACCACUAAUAGAGGUAUUCUAUACAUGGUCAAAUAAAUCAAAAUGUAAAAGUUCAAGCGGUCUAGAAGUGGAAACAACAUUUUUUGAGGAAAAAAUAAGAUAUUGUUUGUUUCCCUUUCUAACAUGCCUCACAAAGAGCAUAUGAUUCAUAUUUUAGAUUUGGCAAGCCUCUGACUUGAUCAAGUCUUUUCAACUUUGAGAUUAACCUCAAAUUGGCAUGUCCAAAACUUUUGUGUCAAAUCAGUUGUUAUUCAUUCACAAACAUAAUACAUUUUACUUCUUGUUUUUCCAAAUCUGAUAAGUUUAUUUUGUAAAUAUUGUUUUUCCUUUGACCAGUAAAUAGUAUAGAUCCAUCUAUUUGAGUUAUUGCCUUACAUGAAUUUUGAUUAAAGACAACACCACUACCAUUGUCGCUUAAUUGAUUUGUUUUCAAUAGGUUAUUCAAUAAUCCUUAUACAAGUAAAACACUUUUAAUAGAGGGAAGUGAACCAUUACCUACUGUGAUAUGCCCAAUGAUCCUACUCUUCUAAUUACCUUCAAAUCCUACAAAUUCUUCGUUCUUGAGGGUCAGGGAACAUAGACUUUUCUCUCGUCACGUGUCAUCAGCAUCCAUUGUUCAAAUACCGCGACUGGUGUUUUAACAUUGUUGCAUAGGAUAUCUGUAAGAUGUAAUAUUUUAUUCUUAGGUACCCAAAUUUGGUUGGGUCCUCUUUUGUUAGUUAUUAAAGGUGUCUUGUCUUUCCAUGUUUUUGCAUAGGACAAAUUCUUUUAUUGUGACAUUUCCUUAAGCAAUAUCAAGUAAGUUAACUUUAGCAGUUUUCUUUGUUUCUUCAAAACCAAUACCACAUUUAUUGUUUCUGCUAACACCAUAGAUCAUGGAGACUUGUUUACUUCUAUCUAUGUCAUUUUCAAGAAAUUAUUAAAAGAUUUUUUUCAUACUUAACAGAAUUACAGACUUUAUCCUUUAAGAGUUUUGAAACAUUUUCUUUCAAAGUUGAAUUUUCUCCUUUUUGGUUGUCAAAAUCAUUUUCAAGAAAUUUGUAUUUAUUUGUUAAGAUGACAUGAGCUUUUCUAAGAGUUUUUAGAUUUGAAGAACAAUAUCAUUCUUGUUUAGAAACUUAUUUAACAUAACGACAAGUUCAUUACGAGAUAGGUCGUAUAGUACCUCAAUUUCAUAGUGUGUAUCUAUCAUCAGAGCCAUGUUUGCAUGCUCUUCAUUUUCAUCAGAUGAUUCAUUAGAGUUAUCUUAAGUAGCCAUAAUACCUUUUUUCUAUGCCUUGGAAUAUUUUCUUAGGGAACUUCCCUUCUUUUCUUAUCUGAUUUUUCACCUUUUUCUCUAUUAUUUUGGGAUCGUUUGCAAUCUCUUUUUGGAAAUACAACUCUUUUGUUCCACAUGCAUUGAAUUUUCUUUAAGAUGAAAUACAACUCAUCAUCAUAUGCAUCUUCACUUUGAUCGUCUGAUUUGUUUUCCUAUAAGCCUUCUUUGAGAUGAAGGAGGUCUAUUAACAAUAAGAUGUUUAUAAUGUUGUACUCUUAGAAAAUAUAUCUCAGCACUUAGACAAAACAAAAAAUUAAUAGCAAGAGUGUAGAGACGAUUGUAUUGUGCUUAUUGUGGUAGGUUGUUGUUGUAUUCUUCAUUGAGAGUUGCAGAUCCUUUUAUAGAGAUCUUUAGGGUUUCUGGCUCCUGUCCUGAUUGUAAGAAAUCAGUUGUAUCAUAAAUUUGUGUAUCAAAUCUUCAGAGAUGUAUUCACCAUUAAAGCAUGUCUAAAAUUAAUCCUUGUAAUUGAUUAUGUGCUUCUUGAUACAGAGACAGAAAAAGCGGACAAUAUCAUGAUCAUAGUAUGUCACAUAGUCCGUCAAACAAAUUACGAAUUCAGAGUGUUGAGCAGAUGAUGCACAAAUUUGUCUUCUUCAGAUUGUUCACUUUUUAUAGCGUUGACUUUGUUCAGGGAUUUGACUUUUAGAGCAUUUACUUCUAUCAAAGCAUUGACUGUCUAAAGUAUUGACAUUUUAUCUGAGUGUUGACUUUUAAAUAGAGUUAGAUGAUCAGUUGUUUGACGUGAUUAUUAGAGACAAACAAUCAUUGGCUUGUAUGAGGAAGAAUAAUCAUAUGUUUGUUGCAGUCAUCAGAGUCAAAAAAAUCAGAGCAUUGCUUGUACUAGCAUGAUCACCAGAGGUGUGUUUCCAAGUGCGUUCAUCAGACUCAAAAUACGGAUUUCAGAGCGAAGUCAUGGUGUUCCCUUAACUUACAUCAAAACAUCAAAGGAUGCAGCGUAAUGUCAUAUAAAAUAAUCUCACCUGAGAACUACACACUUAAACAAAUAGUUAGUGCUUGAAAUUGUUCCCACAAAAUGAUUUGUUUUCAUCAAAACAAAUAAAAGUCAUAAUUCUUCAAAUUAGCUUAAUUCUAACAAUAUUAUCCAAACUAAACCGGUGAAUUAUAGGUUUGUUUGAAUACCUUCAAUGUGUUUGAUACUUAUAAAAAUGUAUAACUUAUUUUAGGAAAGAGAUUUUUUUUUGCAUAUUAUAGUUUUUUGUAUUCACCAAAUUUUGAUCGAUGAGAUUAAG